ACGUCAGCCAUUUCCCCAGUUUGCCAGAUCGCUAGUUUCUUAAACUUUUCGUCAGUAAUGUCAAACAAACAAACUGUCCAAACACUCGAUGGGAUUCACGCCAUUUACCGCCAAAAAGCCUUUUGGCCUGAAUUCACAUCCACAAAAUCACACCAGGAUGAAACCCAUCUGUAAAGCAGCUUUAAAAAGAUUGUACGCAAGCAAAAGAUGGCCAGAUUGAGACUUGUGAACUUCACCACUGGGUCCCUCCUUUAAAAUGUUACUCUGCUAAAGUACAUGUGAAUAAAGAAAUAAUUUCAAGACGACAUAACAGUGUCAAGGAAUGAGUGCUGCUCACGUGGGAGAAAAGAGUCCAAAAUGAGAAUCUAUUCAUUUGGAUAUCCCACAGAUCAGAGGCGCCUGCAGCCUUAAGGUUGGCACACAGCGGAUGAACCGCUCAGCACCGCUACACGGCGUGCACAUGACAGUUGAUAGUAUCAAACACCAGACGCGCACAUUCGCAUGGUAUUUAAGAGGAAACUAAUCAGAUGGCGCUCUGUGGCGCGGCAGAAAUAUGAACUGUGUCCUGAGUCGUGGCUGGGCGCAGUUGACUUGGUGCGCCGAUGUGUGUACCCUGAUAGAAACCUAUAUUUAGAAUUGUAAAAAGCAUGGCGCUGUGUGGCACAACGGUGUUUUUCAGUGGCCUUCAGCAUUGUUGGGUCUGGCAUACUGCUUCUUCGUUUUCGCAUAGUUUGAAACAUUUAUCAGAGUUUUAUAUUGAUUAAAAUAAAAAAUGAGAAAUGUCUUAUUUAUAAUGUCUUUUCUGUUUUAUAACAUUAUACAGUUUCCAUCACACACUUUUGAAGAUGCAGGUUACAUUUCAAAUAAUUAGGCAAAACCAUAUCACUGUCCCACAUAUGUAAACGUAAAAAACAUUUUAAGUAGUCAUCUUGCGCUUUGUGAAUGAUUUUCUGCUCAAGUGCAUCAAAUGUGAGGUGAUUUAAAAGGGGGUGGGACAUGUAAUGCUAGAGAAUAUGUGAUUGGUCAAGAUUUGAUGAGAAACCAGUAUAAGUUGAUGUGAAAAAAAGUCGUUAAGCAAUUUCAGUGGAUUUCGGUAACAAACUGCUAGCGUUAAAUGUUUCUAUCGGUUUUAAAUCUUAUAAAUGUAAAUUGUCACUCUAUGGAGCACACUAGCUCAGGGGUUCCCAAUUUUUUCAGCCCAUCGCCACUAAAAUAAUGCCAAUGACUCACGACCCCCACUAUUUUUCAGAGGUGGUUAGAAACAUAAAUGUUAAAUACAAGGGUGCUCACACACACACACACCAAUAUGCCUAUAAAAAUGAUCAAAUUCAUAACACAAAGUGUAAUCUAUACAGUUUUUUAUAGUAAUUUAUUCUAUUUAAUAUGAACCUCACCUAAUGAGACUGGUUGGCACAUCGUUUGCAGCACAAGUCUAUUCUUGUUUAGUUUUUGAGAGCACCACUUUAAGAUCAUUCUCUAUCAGAGUGUCCGCGAGGUCUUAAGUCUAAAAUUAAAAAAAUAAAAAUUUUAGGCCUUAAAAAGUCUUAAAUUUGUUGUUCUAGGUCUUAAAUAUUUAAUUAUUUCAGCUAGCGGAGCGCACUAAAUUUUUUAAACUUGAGCAAACUGUGCGUGGUGCCACACUUAAUUUCAGUUGAAUAUGAAUCACUUUGAAAAGAUUUUGUCUGAAACAGGUACGACUGUACAUACACCUUUAUGAUCUAAAAACUAGAUCAACAAUAAUUAUUAGCUAGUGAUUGCAAAAGCAGUGGGAAAGGUGGAAAGUUUUUGUUAAAGUUUGGAAAAACCUGAGGGAUAUGUUUGUUAAAACAAAAAGAGGUCAUGGCAAAAAUGACCCAGGUACACAAUUACAAAACAUGUUUUUCCACCAUUUAUAGGUUUUAAAAAUGUAAUAGUUACAAAACUAUUAUUGAGGAACAAAUUAUUUCUCUGAUAACUGGAAAAAAUAUACAAUAUACUAAUGCCCUGUUUUUCUAGGCUUUAUUGAUGAUAAUCGUAAGGAAUGUUGAACCAUUAUUGCAUUUUAGCAUAUCAGUAGAGGACAGAAACUAACCAGCCAGUAAUGUGUGAACUGUAGAGAGGACAAAAUAAAAUAAAAAGUCAGUAUUUUUAGUAAGUACUUUUUUUGUUUUUGUUUUUAUUCUUUCCACAAUAAAAAAUAUUAUUGUGGA